GACGAACGCUGGCGGCGUGCUUAACACAUGCAAGUCGAACGGAAAGGCCCUGCUUUUGUGGGGUGCUCGAGUGGCGAACGGGUGAGUAACACGUGAGUAACCUGCCCUUGACUUUGGGAUAACUUCAGGAAACUGGGGCUAAUACCGGAUAGGAGCUCCUGCUGCAUGGUGGGGGUUGGAAAGUUUCGGCGGUUGGGGAUGGACUCGCGGCUUAUCAGCUUGUUGGUGGGGUAGUGGCUUACCAAGGCUUUGACGGGUAGCCGGCCUGAGAGGGUGACCGGCCACAUUGGGACUGAGAUACGGCCCAGACUCCUACGGGAGGCAGCAGUGGGGAAUAUUGCACAAUGGGCGGAAGCCUGAUGCAGCAACGCCGCGUGCGGGAUGACGGCCUUCGGGUUGUAAACCGCUUUCGCCUGUGACGAAGCGUGAGUGACGGUAAUGGGUAAAGAAGCACCGGCUAACUACGUGCCAGCAGCCGCGGUGAUACGUAGGGUGCGAGCGUUGCCCGGAUUUAUUGGGCGUAAAGGGCUCGUAGGUGGUUGAUCGCGUCGGAAGUGUAAUCUUGGGGCUUAACCCUGAGCGUGCUUUCGAUACGGGUUGACUUGAGGAAGGUAGGGGAGAAUGGAAUUCCUGGUGGAGCGGUGGAAUGCGCAGAUAUCAGGAGGAACACCAGUGGCGAAGGCGGUUCUCUGGGCCUUUCCUGACGCUGAGGAGCGAAAGCGUGGGGAGCGAACAGGCUUAGAUACCCUGGUAGUCCACGCUGUAAACGGUGGGUACUAGGUGUGGGGUCCAUUCCACGGGUUCCGUGCCGUAGCUAACGCUUUAAGUACCCCGCCUGGGGAGUACGGCCGCAAGGCUAAAACUCAAAGGAGUUGACGGGGCCCCGCACAAGCGGCGGAGCAUGCGGAUUAAUUCGAUGCAACGCGUAGAACCUUACCUGGGUUUGACAUGGAUCGGGAGCGCUCAGAGAUGGGUGUGCCUCUUUUGGGGUCGGUUCACAGGUGGUGCAUGGCUGUCGUCAGCUCGUGUCGUGAGAUGUUGGGUUAAGUCCCGCAACGAGCGCAACCCUUGUUCACUGUUGCCAGCACGUUAUGGUGGGGACUCAGUGGAGACCGCCGGGGUCAACUCGGAGGAAGGUGGGGAUGACGUCAAGUCAUCAUGCCCCUUAUGUCCAGGGCUUCACGCAUGCUACAAUGGCUGGUACAGAGAGUGGCGAGCCUGUGAGGGUGAGCGAAUCUCGGAAAGCCGGUCUCAGUUCGGAUUGGGGUCUGCAACUCGACCUCAUGAAGUCGGAGUCGCUAGUAAUCGCAGAUCAGCAACGCUGCGGUGAAUACGUUCCCGGG
rnacentral:rRNA from 1 species